UCUCCUAUUGAUUGCGCGCGGAUACAGUAAUGUGGACGAGCGUGGCACUAGUGUCUUGCAGUCAGUCCUACUAGUGGAGCUGAGCUGGGCGAGUGUCAGCCGGUAACGGAGUCCGGUGCACACAGAACGAGGGAAGCUUUUCACCAAAAUAACAUUUCAUCAAAAUCGCCAAUGGUCCAAUCGGAGGAGCUUGUUUUCUUAAUCAGAUCAGCUAGUUUGUCAUCCACCAUCUUUGGGACGGAUAAGUCCCAGCCUCUCUCUCUCACACACACUCUCCUCUCACAGUUGCAGAAAAUUGCUCCGCAGCCCUGUGCUGCACCUUAAUGAACCCAAUUGGUGCACUGUGAGCGACCAUCAUAAAUCUGGAGAAUUUUCAGCAUCUUCGGGGUUGCUUAUGAAUUUGCUUAGGCAGACCCUUUUAAGGAGUUGAGAACAUACACGGGUUGGAGAAAUUGCGAAAAUGGCACAAAACGUGGUUCUAUUUUUAUUGUGGCUUUCGGGCAGAUCACUUGCGGGAUUUCCCAAUCAGAUUAAUAUAGGUGGUCUGUUCAUGCGGUCCACUGUGCAGGAGCACAGUGCGUUUAGGUUCGCUGUUCAGCUCUACAACACCAACCAGAACACUACGGAGAAACCCUUCCAUCUCAAUUACAACGUAGACAACCUCGAGUCGUCCAACAGCUUCUCAGUCACCCAUGCAUUCUGCUCUCAGUUCUCCCGAGGGGUCUAUGCCAUCUUCGGCUUCUACGAUAAAAAGUCUAUGAACACCCUGACUUCAUUCUGUGGGGCGCUGCACACCUCCUUCGUCACGCCCAGUUACCCCACCGACAACGAAGUGCAGUUUGUCAUCCAGAUGAGACCUGCACUGCGUGGGGCCGUCCUCAGCCUGCUGUCACACUACAAGUGGCAGAAGUUCGUUUACCUCUACGACACUGACAGAGGUUUCUCUAUCCUUCAGGCUAUCAUGGAGUCGGCUGUAACCAACAACUGGCAGGUAACGGCUCGGUCUGUGGGGAGCAUCACAGAUGCAGCAGAGUUCAAACGGAUCAUCGAGGAGAUGGACAGGAGGCAGGAGAAACGCUACGUCAUUGACUGUGAGGUGGACAGGAUCAACACUAUCCUAGAACAGGUGGUCUCUCUGGGGAAGAACGCCCGUGGAUACCACUACAUCCUGUCUAACCUGGGUUUCUCCAAUGUGAGCUUGGACAAGGUCUUCCUAGGCGGGGCCAACAUAUCAGGCUUCCAGAUAGUGAGCCCUGAGAACCCCAUCGUUCAGCAGUUCCUACAGCGCUGGGAGAGACUGGAUGAAAGGGAAUUCCCAGAGGCCAAGAACACCCCACUCAAGUACACGUCAGCUCUGACCCACGAUGCAAUCCUGGUGAUCGCGGAGGCGUUCCGGUAUUUGCGGCGCCAACGCGUAGACGUGUCACGGCGAGGGGGCGCAGGAGACUGUCUGGCCAACCCUGCCGUGCCAUGGAGCCAGGGCAUCGACAUCGAGAGAGCUCUCAAAAUGGUCCAGGUCCAGGGGAUGACGGGGAACAUCCAGUUUGACAGCUAUGGCCGGAGGUCCAACUACACUAUAGACGUCUAUGAGAUGAGGACAGGGGGGCCCAAAAAGAUUGGAUACUGGAACGAGUACCAGCGAUUAGUAAAUUUGUUAGAACAACAGGUGGUCGCCAACGAGUCUUCUUCUGUGGAAAACCGAACGAUUGUGGUCACUACUAUUAUGGAAGCCCCUUAUGUGAUGUACAAGAAACACCAGAUGAAUCUGGAGGGGAAUGACAGAUAUGAAGGCUACUGUGUCGAUUUAGCUGCUGAAAUUGCAAAACACGUGGGGAUAAGAUACAAACUGUCAGUAGUAGCAGACGGGAAGUAUGGUGCGCGGGAUCCAGACACCAAGACGUGGAACGGGAUGGUGGGGGAACUGGUCUAUGGGAGAGCAGAUAUAGCUGUGGCACCUCUCACCAUAACCCUGGUCCGUGAGGAGGUGAUCGACUUCUCCAAGCCCUUCAUGUCUCUGGGCAUCUCCAUCAUGAUCAAGAAGCCCCAGAAGUCUAAACCCGGGGUGUUCUCCUUCCUGGACCCGCUGGCCUAUGAGAUCUGGAUGUGUAUCGUGUUCGCCUACAUCGGUGUCAGCGUGGUCCUGUUCCUGGUCAGCCGUUUCAGCCCUUAUGAGUGGAACCUGGAUGAACAGGAUGAGACCAAAGACCCCCAGACACCUCCAGAUCCUCCCAACGACUUUGGCAUCUUCAACUCUCUGUGGUUCUCUCUGGGAGCCUUCAUGCAGCAAGGAUGUGAGAUAUCACCCAGGUCCCUAUCAGGGAGAAUAGUAGGGGGCGUGUGGUGGUUUUUCACUCUCAUCAUCAUCUCCUCCUAUACGGCCAACCUGGCUGCUUUCCUCACAGUGGAGAGGAUGGUGUCCCCCAUAGAGAGUGCUGAGGACCUGGCUAAACAGACUGAGAUCGCCUACGGAACUCUGGAUGCUGGUUCCACCAAAGAGUUCUUUAGGCGAUCCAAAAUAGCAGUCUAUGAGAAAAUGUGGUCAUACAUGAAAUCGGCCGAACCGUCAGUGUUUGUCAAGACCACGCCAGACGGGGUGGCACGGGUACGAAAGUCCAAGGGAAAGUUUGCUUUCCUGCUGGAGUCCACCAUGAACGAGUACAUAGAGCAGAGGAAACCCUGCGACACCAUGAAAGUGGGCGGAAACCUCGACUCAAAAGGAUACGGUGUGGCCACACCCAAAGGCUCAGCAUUAAGAAAUGCUGUUAACCUGGCAGUGUUAAAACUGAAUGAGCAAGGCCUGUUGGACAAAUUGAAAAACAAAUGGUGGUACGACAAGGGCGAGUGCGGCAGCGGGGGAGGUGACUCCAAGAACUCCUGUAAACCUUGCCGUAUUGAAACUCAGUGAACAAGGCAUCUUAGACAAGCUGAAAAACAAAUGGUGGUACGAUAAGGGUGAAUGUGGAACCAAGGACUCUGGAAGUAAGGUCAGUCUCCGCAGGUCUUCUGUGCUGAUUCCCAGUGUUCAUAUGAACAAAUACUAAACUAUACUGAAACAUCUAGAUUAGCUAUACUGUCUAUCCCUUUACCUCUUAGUAUGUUAUUUAUUCAUACAAACAACAUUCUGCCACAUACGUGUAACAAAAAUGGAGAAGUGGCUCCAAUCCAAUAUGCACUAUUCCCCCAAUUCUAAUCACAUCCCAAAAAUAUUUUGUUGGGCUUAUGUUAAUGUUAAAGUAAUUUUUAUAGAAAUAGGUAGUGAUUUUUUUUCCCCACACAAACUGUAAUGGUACAUUCCAUUAGGAUAUGCUUGGGGAAGUUGUAAAUUGUGUAAAAUAAUCAAACACCAUCAUUGAAUAGUUGUUGACUAGCUGUUGACCUGAAGUGCUCUUUUUGCUCAUUUUCACACUUUACAUUCAUGAUAUUCUUACCAUUAUGCUGCCGUUUCUUUUUACUAAAACGUUUCAUUCAAAUUUGAUUUAUCUGUGUUGUUACUAGGUUGCAUGGAAUUGUUUCUAUUGGGAACUUUACUAACUUCCUGUGGUGGGGUGAACAAACAAAGUGUUCUUGUUGCUUCCAAUUAACUUCAGUAAGGUGUUACAACACCAUGAGGUGUUUUUCAGGUCUUUGUCUGAACAAGGAGUUGCAAUGAAGAGAUCUUGUUGUUUCCACCCCACAUGAAGUCUAAGAACGUAAUACUCCUCUUAAUUUAACCCUCUGAGACCAUAACCAGGCUAAUGAACUAACAGAUCAGUGUCUGUAGCCUCGACGGCUUAGCUAGAUAUUUUCCACAGAUAUAAACUCUCAGUCAAACCUCAAAGGGUUAAACUGCAAAUGGUAAAACUCUCAUGAACAAAUUUUCAAUAAACAUGUUUGGGAAGUAAGCAGCAGCAAAAUGGUUUGAUUCCAUUCUUAAAAUGGCUUUUUGGAUUUUUUUUUAUGUCAGAGAUUUGACUACAUAGUAUCACAGUGUACCAAGACAUUUUUUUUCAGGACAGGGCUUGAAAUGUUGACCUUUGAGUUACUGACCACAGCUUCCUUAUAUGGAAGAAGACCUGUAGAAUAGGGGAAGCUCUACAUUCACCUAGAUCAAACUAAAGCGGUGACUCGUCUCUCCUUCAUUGGAGAGUGGUCUGACUAUGGUGUUCAGAUGUUCCUCACAACUUCUUGGACCACUAUAGGAAAGCCAGUCCAAUCUGGACCUCUUCUAGAGUCAACCUCAGCCAUCCUUUACUUUGUCAACCUUCUGUUGCUAUUAGCCUCUGGAGUCUGUAGUAUGAUCUGCCAUUGGUAGCAUCAGAAACGUUUCAGUCUCAGAGAGAGAGUUUGUAGAAGGGUCUGAUAAUAGAGUAUCCAUGUGAGUUCUGAGUGUUAGGUAUUUUACUGUUAUAUCAACAAGAUUGUAAGGACCAGUUGGAGGCCUAUAGAUACUUUGCUUUAGAGCCGUACUGGUAGGCUGCACUGUUCUCUACAGAACUCUCUCCACCGCAAACCCUCUAACUAUGUUCUUCACAUUCCCCAGGACAAGACAAGUGCUCUCAGCCUGAGCAAUGUGGCUGGAGUCUUCUAUAUUCUGGUUGGAGGGCUGGGGCUGGCCAUGAUGGUGGCUCUGAUUGAGUUCUGUUACAAAUCGCGUGCAGAAACCAAACGGCUCAAACUAGCAAAGAAUGCUGAGAAAUUGAAGCCAGCUCCCCCGACCAACCCCCAGAACUUUGCCACGUACCGAGAAGGUUACAACGUGUAUGGGACAGAGAGCGUUAAGAUCUAAGGGUAUCAUACGCUUCAGCUAGACCAGGUACGGUACCCCUUACCAACGACUGUGACUACUGACCCCAUGAUGAAACGACAUGAACACGUCGGGAUGGGGGUUUCCUCAACUGCAGCUAAAUCCUUUCCUGGCGGCAAAUGGCGACGAUAAUCUGCAAUGAAGACAUGACAGGACUGGUGACAUGAAGAAUUUAAAUCAGUUUACUCCAGUGCCUUAUGUAUGAAACACUCAGAGACUCACAGAAUUACUUAGAACAAUGCAACUAAUCACAACUCACAAACACACAAACAACUAAACAACUAAACAGACAAAUAAACAGAAAGACAGGAUUGUUUUAUGUACAUUUAUUUGAGAUGCUGUGACGAACUAAGAAGAUAAAAGAGAGAGAGAUACCUAAAGCCAUCACUUGCACCCCAAGCACAUUUCCAAGUGCCCGUACAGAAAAUGAAUACGAUAUUACAGAUGAUAAAUUGUUUUUUUCUGCUAAGGGAAUUUGAUCAGAUUAUCCUAAUUAUUCUUGCAGGCCAGGUUUUUACUGGUUAAAUGUGUUUUAAAAUACGUUUGUUGUAGGCACUGUACAGUAAGUCACUUAUUAUUAGAAGAUAGCUUGUUAUAUUGCUGUGACCUUGGAAUUGUUUUGAAAGAUGAAUCAGUUGGUUAAAUAUGCUGGAGCAAAAAUGAUAUUGUAUUGUUGUUGUCCAUGACUCUGAGACCAGGCAGUGGUAGUGCAUCUGAAAUGGCCCCCUAUUCCCUAUGGAGUGCACUACUUCUGACUAGAGCCUCUGGUCAAAAGUAGUGCACUAUAUAGGGAAUAGGGUGUCAUUCUUGACGUACGCACAGGGACUCUUGAACGAGAUGAAUGUGAGAUGCAGCAUUUGGCGCUACAAAACUUAAACAGGCCAUCUCACAAUCCCAGUAUACUGCCAACAGCGUUAUUAAAAAAUGCAGAGGACUGUCUGAGCAAGUUUCAUAGUUGAGUACCUCUCCCAGUGUGUUUUAUGGUGUGUAGAAUAUGAAGAGAAAACUCACUCACACGAUGGCGCUCCAAAAUAGGCUGCUUGUAACUGGAUGUUCAUGUAACCUAAAAUCAUUCAAGUCUUCUGUACAAGCAACUAAAACCAAACCAAAUAGGACAUUCAAAAGUAGAUGAACUGCAAUUCAAACAGUUUGGCUUUUCACCCGUAGUAAUAUGGAUGACCUUGCUAUUUAAAGAAUAAGCUGUGGUUUGAUGAUUUGCUUUCAAUUUUAAUUUCAUUAUAGUGUUUUGUGAAUUUACUUAGUUAAUGAAAUAAAUGAAUAAUAUAAAUAAUUACAAAGAGACCAUGGAUUACUACAAGGCACUUACGCUUACUACAUUUCCCUUUUCUGUUCUACAGACUGGGAUUCCAUACUACAUUCCCUUUUCUGUUCUACAGACUGGGAUUCCAUACUACAUUCCCUUUUCUGUUCUACAGACUGGGAUUCCAUACUACAUUCCCUUUUCUGUUCUACAGACUGGGAUUCCAUACUACAUUCCCUUUUCUGUUCUACAGACUGGGAUUCCAUACUACAUUCCCUUUUCUGUUCUACAGACUGGGAUUCCAUACUACAUUCCCUUUUCUGUUCUACAGACUGGGAUUCCAUACUACAUUUCCCUUUUCUGUUCUACAGACUGGGAUUCCAUACUACAUUUCCCUUUUCUGUUCUACAGACUGGGAUUCCAUACUACAUUCCCUUUUCUGUUCUACAGACUGGGAUUCCAUACUACAUUCCCUUUUCUGUUCUACAGACUGGGAUUCCAUACUACAUUCCCUUUUCUGUUCUACAGACUGGGAUUCCAUAGGAUUUAGGAAGACAUUUAAUCACCUAAAACCGUGGAAAGAUAGUUUAACACACAAAAAAGAAAAACAAUUCUUAUAAAGGGAAGAAAUAGGAUAUAAACAUUUGUAAAGAAUGAGACGUGUACAUUUAUUUAAAUUAGAUUUAUUUAUUAAGGCUACACAAGAAAGGAGUGAUGGUUUCCCAAUUUUUCUAAGAAAUUGCAU